rnacentral:rRNA from 1 species
UCAGGAUGAACGCUGGCGGCGUGCUUAACACAUGCAAGUCGAACGGUGAAGCCCAGCUUGCUGGGUGGAUCAGUGGCGAACGGGUGAGUAACACGUGAGCAACCUGCCCCGGACUCUGGGAUAAGCGCUGGAAACGGCGUCUAAUACUGGAUACGAACCACGAAGGCAUCUUCAGUGGUUGGAAAGAUUUUUUGGUCUGGGAUGGGCUCGCGGCCUAUCAGCUUGUUGGUGAGGUAAUGGCUCACCAAGGCGUCGACGGGUAGCCGGCCUGAGAGGGUGACCGGCCACACUGGGACUGAGACACGGCCCAGACUCCUACGGGAGGCAGCAGUGGGGAAUAUUGCACAAUGGGCGCAAGCCUGAUGCAGCAACGCCGCGUGAGGGAUGACGGCCUUCGGGUUGUAAACCUCUUUUAGCAAGGAAGAAGCGAAAGUGACGGUACUUGCAGAAAAAGCGCCGGCUAACUACGUGCCAGCAGCCGCGGUAAUACGUAGGGCGCAAGCGUUAUCCGGAAUUAUUGGGCGUAAAGAGCUCGUAGGCGGUUUGUCGCGUCUGCUGUGAAAACCCGAGGCUCAACCUCGGGCCUGCAGUGGGUACGGGCACACUAGAGUGCGGUAGGGGAGAUUGGAAUUCCUGGUGUAGCGGUGGAAUGCGCAGAUAUCAGGAGGAACACCGAUGGCGAAGGCAGAUCUCUGGGCCGUAACUGACGCUGAGGAGCGAAAGGGUGGGGAGCAAACAGGCUUAGAUACCCUGGUAGUCCACCCCGUAAACGUUGGGAACUAGUUGUGGGGUCCAUUCCACGGAUUCCGUGACGCAGCUAACGCAUUAA